CCCAUGUUCAAGGUCUUGCACCUGGGCUGGAGCGACCACCAGUAUCAACACAGGUCGGGGAGGAAGGAAUGGAAAGGGGCUCUGUGAAGAAGGACUUGGGGGUACUGGGGCAUGAAAGACGGGACAUGAGCCAGCAACGUGCGCUUGCAGACCAGAAGGCUUUGUGGAGAGUGGUGCCUCAGUGGUCUUCGGAGGAAGAGGCAAAACAUCAACUGGUGGAGAAGAGCAUGGUCAAUAUGGCACUGAGUUCAGUGGAGGUUCCAAACAGCAGGCAAGAAGGGCUGGAAAUUUUGGCUUUUAAAAUCAGCCUCAUCCAGGGACCUUCCCAAAGAACUGGGUCACCUAAAGCGUCUGGGAGCUGGACCUGAACCUCUUGGUGGCCACAGAAGUUACCAAGAUCUUGCAAAAGCUUUAAUAAAACAAUGUACCAGACAAACAAAAGCAGAAGGUUAAGAAGGCAGAAAGGAAGCUUCCUUGGGCUACAUUUACUGCCAGCUUUUGUGGAAAUUAUCUGAGUCGUGUUCGGCCUGGGCAGAUGUGAACAAUGUCUGUGUGCGAGAGAGGAUGCGUCCUUGCGGAAAGGACAACAGGUAACUUGUGAUCCCUUCUGUUCAGCAAACACUCCUA